rnacentral:miRNA from 1 species
CACUCAGCCUUGAGGGCACUUUC